rnacentral:rRNA from 1 species
AACGAACGCUGGCGGCAUGCCUAACACAUGCAAGUCGAACGAGAUCUUCGGAUCUAGUGGCGCACGGGUGCGUAACGCGUGGGAAUCUGCCCUGGGGUGCGGAAUAACUCUCCGAAAGGAGUGCUAAUACCGCAUAAUGUCUUCGGACCAAAGAUUUAUCGCCCUGGGAUGAGCCCGCGUUGGAUUAGCUAGUUGGUGGGGUAAAAGCCUACCAAGGCGACGAUCCAUAGCUGGUCUGAGAGGAUGAUCAGCCACACUGGGACUGAGACACGGCCCAGACUCCUACGGGAGGCAGCAGCGGGGAAUAUUGGACAAUGGGCGAAAGCCUGAUCCAGCAAUGCCGCGUGAGUGAUGAAGGCCUUAGGGUUGUAAAGCUCUUUUACCAGGGAUGAUAAUGACAGUACCUGGAGAAUAAGCUCCGGCUAACUCCGUGCCAGCAGCCGCGGUAAUACGGAGGGAGCUAGCGUUGUUCGGAAUUACUGGGCGUAAAGCGCGCGUAGGCGGUCCAUCAAGUCAGAGGUGAAAGCCCGGGGCUCAACCCCGGAACUGCCUUUGAAACUGGCGGACUAGGAUCUUGGAGAGGCGAGUGGAAUUCCGAGUGUAGAGGUGAAAUUCGUAGAUAUUCGGAAGAACACCAGUGGCGAAGGCGACUCGCUGGA